rfam:Bacillus sp. X1(2014), complete genome.
GAUAAAGUGGUUCGAAACCAUCCCACUAUAAAAAACUAAGGAGAA